UACGUAGGGUGCGAGCGUUAAUCGGAAUUACUGGGCGUAAAGUGUGCGCAGGCGGCCACGCAAGUCGAGUGUGAAAGCCCCGGGCUUAACUUGGGAAUUGCGCUCGAAACUACGUGGCUGGAGUGUGGCAGAGGAAGGUGGAAUUCCAGGUGUAGCAGUGAAAUGCGUAGAGAUGUGGAGGAACACCGAUGGCGAAGGCAGCCCCCUGGUCAAGAUUGACGCUCGAUGCACGAAGCGUGGGAGCAAACAGG
rnacentral:rRNA from 1 species